rnacentral:rRNA from 1 species
CGCGUAGGCGGUGAGAUAAGUCAGAUGUGAAAUUCCGGGGCUCAACCCCGGAGCUGCAUUUGAAACUAUCUCGCUAGAGGUCAGUUAGGGAAAACGGAAUUCCACGUGUAGCGGUGAAAUGCGUAGAUAUGUGGAAGAACACCAGUGGUGAAGACGGUUUUCUGGGCUGAUACUGACGCUGAGGCGCGAAAGCAAGGGAGCAAACA